CUCUUCACCCUGACGAGAAGUUGUUUCAUCUGGGUCUUUAUGGUACAGAUCAGCAAAAGGGCAGAGAAACCAGAAUCUGAAAGAAUUUCAAAUAUGGAAGCUCACCAUUUAAAACUCAGCUAUAGAUGAUCCUGAACUUACAAUGUGGUACAUCCCAAUAAACUCAUCAUAAAUGGAAAAUAUCAUAAGUUGAAAAUGCAUUUAAUACCCUUAACCUAAUAAAUAUCAGCUUAUCCUAGCCUGCUUUAAAUGUACACAGAACAGUUACAUUAGCCUGGCCUGGGCAAAAUCUUCUAACACAAAGCCUAUUU
rnacentral:lncRNA from 1 species